CAGUAGCCGCGGUAAUACGGAGGGUGCAAGCGUUAAUCGGAAUUACUGGGCGUAAAGCGUGCGUAGGCGGCUUCUUAAGUCGGAUGUGAAAUCCCUGAGCUUAACUUAGGAAUUGCAUUCGAUACUGGGAAGCUAGAGUAUGGGAGAGGAUGGUAGAAUUCCAGGUGUAGCGGUGAAAUGCGUAGAGAUCUGGAGGAAUACCGAUGGCGAAGGCAGCCAUCUGGCCUAAUACUGACGCUGAGGUACGAAAGCAUGGGGAGCAAACAGGAUUAGAUACCCCCGUAGUCCCUGUCUCUUAUAA
rnacentral:rRNA from 1 species